rnacentral:piRNA from 1 species
UGCUGGAGACUAUUAGAAUAAAUCACGAG